GCCUGGCUGGCUCAGUCGGUAGAGCAUCUGACUCUUGAUCUUGUGAUCAUGGGUUCAAGCCCCAUGUUGGAUA
rfam:Felis catus isolate Cinnamon breed Abyssinian chromosome X, whole genome shotgun sequence.